rnacentral:lncRNA from 1 species
UUGUCAAGUUGUCAAGAAUUUUGAUUUUGAUUUUUGAUUUUGUUUUAUUUUGCUUUUUGAUGUAUUUUUAUGUAUUUUAAAAUUUGGUGGGGAAUUGUAAGGAAAAUUUUAAAAUAAUAUAUUUUGUUUAUUGUUUUUAGUGAAUGGAUGUGAUUCUUCGUGAAAGGAUGCAAUCCUUAGUGAAUGGAUGCAACUCUUAGUGAAUGGAUGCAACCCUUAGUGAGUGGAUGCAACUCUAAUCAAAGGGUAUGACUCUUAAAGUGAAAGGAUGUGACUUUUAGUGAAAGAAUAUGAUAUGAAAAGACACAUCUUUAUAGUGUGUCUCUUCGUACAUAUGCCCGUUGGAAUCAAUGGUUAUAUUCAUUGAACUUGAUUCAUAUAACUAUUUGGUAGUUAUGAUCAAAUGAAAAGUCACAAUCGAAAGGUCACUUCACGAAACACCUAUUCAUGAAUAGUCACUUCACGAAACACCCUUUCGUGAAUAGUCACUUCAUGAAGCACCCGUUCGUGGCCUAUAUAAGUCCAUAGCAUUGGUUGCAGAAGGAGACAGACAGAAAACAGUUGAAGAGUUGAAGUCUUCAUUCAUAAUAAUUCCAUUCUUGUUUUAUAUUCUAUUUCUUUUGACAACUUAAUCGAGUGAGUGCUCAAAGGCUCGACUUCGUGUGUGCAAACGCAGUUGAGGUUUACGCUUCAUUGUAUCCUGGGAGGUUGUUCGUUGACCCGGUGCACACCAAAUUGUUAGAACGGUGGGGACGGAUUAAGCCUUAAGGAAAGUGGCAUUGCUAUACGCCUUGAAGCCUUUUUAAUCUUUCUAUUUCAUACCUUUAUCACAAUCUGUUCAACAUUAGGUUCAAUUUUACACUAACUAAUCUAACAAAGAUUAUAUUCCAUAACCUAGUCUUCUUAUCC